rnacentral:lncRNA from 1 species
AGUUCCUUUUUGCCAAGUCUAGAUGAGGGUACUGGAAACAGAUUCUUUUCUAUGUAAAUGAGAAAAUGUCUUUAUAGAGAGACAUAGAUUGAAAAAUUAUUGAAGCUCUAAUAUUUCUGAAAUACUUCUUGUCCUUCUACAUCCAGUAAAGAAGGAGGAAGGUCAAAGUUAUACUUUCUUACCAUUCCAAGCUGAGUGUGGUACACACUGAUGAUGGAGAAGUUUGGGAAGAAACUUCCUAAAAGCCUGCAGGUCUUCAGGACACUGAGUUCUUCUUUACAAAGUGAGAAAAUAUGUUGGGCAGUGAAGGGAAGAAGAUUGAGGAAAUGCUCAUGAUUAUGAGAACUGAGAAUGGACUUGAAAAUAAAAGGCUUUCUGAAGGAGACUAAGGUAAGGGGUGGGUGUGCAGGGCUUUGAGAAAUUUGAGAUCCCUGGUUACAGACUGCUAACUGCAAAUUUUCAGUCAAAUUAGAGAUAAGAUAUCCAAGUAGAGACAAGAUAUCAAACCUUUAAAAAU